rnacentral:rRNA from 1 species
ACGUACACUCCUGCGGGAGGCAGCAGUGGGGAAUAUUGCACAAUGGGCGCAAGCCUGAUGCAGCCAUGCCGCGUGUAUGAAGAAGGCCUUCGGGUUGUAAAGUACUUUCAGCGGGGAGGAAGGCAAUACGGUUAAUAACCGUGUUGAUUGACGUUACCCGCAGAAGAAGCACCGGCUAACUCCGUGCCAGCAGCCGCGGUAAUACGGAGGGUGCAAGCGUUAAUCGGAAUUACUGGGCGUAAAGCGCACGCGGGCGGUCUGUCAAGUCGGAUGUGAAAUCCCCGGGCUCAACCUGGGAACUGCAUUCGAAACUGGCAGGCUUGAGUCUUGUAGAGGGGGGUAGAAUUCCAGGUGUAGCGGUGAAAUGCGUAGAGAUCUGGAGGAAUACCGGUGGCGAAGGCGGCCCCCUGGACAAAGACUGACGCUCAGGUGCGAAAGCGUGGGGAGCAAACAGGAUUAGAAACCCUAGUAGUCCC